rnacentral:rRNA from 1 species
AUGAACGCUGGCGGCGUGCCUAAUACCUGCAAGUCGCGCGAACAGACGAGGAGCUUGCUCCUCUGACGUUAGCGGCGGACGGGUGAGUAACACGUGGAUAACCUACCUAUAAGACUGGGAUAACUUCGGGAAACCGGAGCUAAUACCGGAUAAUAUAUUGAACCGCAUGGUUCAAUAGUGAAAGACGGUUUUGCUGUCACUUAUAGAUGGAUCCGCGCCGCAUUAGCUAGUUGGUAAGGUAACGGCUUACCAAGGCAACGAUGCGUAGCCGACCUGAGAGGGUGAUCGGCCACACUGGAACUGAGACACGGUCCAGACUCCUACGGGAGGCAGCAGUAGGGAAUCUUCCGCAAUGGGCGAAAGCUUGACGGAGCAACGCCGCGUGAGUGAUGAAGGUCUUCGGAUCGUAAAACUCUGUUAUUAGGGGAGAACAAAUGUGUAAGUAACUAUGCACGUCUUGACGGUACCUAAUCAGAAAGCCACGGCUAACUAUGU